ACUCAAAUGAAUUGACGGGGACCCGCACAAGCGGUGGAACAUGUGGUUUAAUUCGAUGCAACGCGCAGAACCUUACCAAGGCUUGACAUGCAAUGCAAAGCUAGGGAAACCUAAUGGAGGUUAUCAUUGCACAGGUGGUGCAUGGCCGUCGUCAGUUCGUGCCGUGAGGUGUAUGGUUAAGUCCUAUAACGAACGUAACCCUUGUGCUUAGUUGCCAUCAUUUAGUUGGGGACUCUAAGCAGACUGCCAGGGUAACCUGGAGGAAGGAAAGGACGAUGUCUGGUCAUCAUGCCCCUUAUGCCUUGGGCUACACACGUGUUACAAUGGUUAGGACAAAGAGUUGCGAGUCUGUGAAGAUAAGCCAAUCUCAAAAAACUAACCGCAGUUCGGAUUGAAGUCUGAAACUCGACUUCAUGAAGUUGGAAUCGCUAGUAAUUGUGGAUCAGCUAUGCCACGGUGAAUACGUUCUCGGGUCUUGUACACACCGCCCGU
rnacentral:rRNA from 1 species